rnacentral:rRNA from 1 species
UACGGAGGAUGCGAGCGUUAUCCGGAUUUAUUGGGUUUAAAGGGUGCGUAGGCGGGCUUUUAAGUCAGCGGUAAAAAUUCGGGGCUCAACCCCGUCCGGCCGUUGAAACUGGGGGCCUUGAGUGGGCGAGAAGAAGGCGGAAUGCGUGGUGUAGCGGUGAAAUGCAUAGAUAUCACGCAGAACCCCGAUUGCGAAGGCAGCCUUCCGGCGCCCUACUGACGCUGAGGCUCGAAAGCGUGGGGAGCAAACAGG